rnacentral:ncRNA from 1 species
GAAGUACAUCAAGAGAGGCUCAAAUUUGGGUCCGGCAACCUGGGAUGGACACCCAAGGUGCUCGCUUGCCUAGUAGGUGAGGAUGCGGUUUCGGAAGAAACAAUGAAGUGUCCGGCGG